UUAAAACCAAUCUCUAUUCUCUAAAUAUCUUUUUCCCACAUCAUCAAGCUUCCUUUAUUUCCUCUCCAUCCAUCUCUUUCUUUUCUCUAUCAUCAAGCUUUCUUCUUUCAAUUCUCUCUGUCUCUCUCUCUUUCUUUCAUUUGCCCUGAUCAUCAGACACAGCUCCCACUGAGAAAGAGAGAAUAAAAACAACAUCAACACCAAUAAAGGAGGCGCUAUUGUUUUUAAAAAAUUAAGCUUAUGUGCUUACGACGAUGUAGCAGGGAAGCCAGAACGGAGAGAUAGAGAUCCAAAGGUUUUUGGUUUACUAAAUGCACGACGGGUAGGCAAGGACGAAGAUUUUGUUUUACACAGGGAGAGAGGGGUUUUUUUCUUCUUUUUUUGGCUAUUUUUGUAAAGCUAACGUUUUUUGAUUUUCCUUUUCCUUUUUGAAUUGUUAAGCACUUAAUAGAUUCUCUUUUUUAUUUUUCCGGUC
rnacentral:lncRNA from 1 species